rnacentral:rRNA from 1 species
GUGUCCUACGGGACGCAGCAGUGAGGGAUAUUGGUCAAUGAGGGGAACCCUGAACCAGCAACGCCGCGUGAGGGAAGACGGUUUUCGGGUUGUAAACUUCUUUUCUCAGGGACGAAGCAAGUGACGGUACCUGAGGAAUAAGCCACGGCUAACUACGUGCCAGCAGCCGCGGUAAUACGUAGGUGGCAAGCGUUAUCCGGAUUUACUGGGUGUAAAGGGCGUGUAGGCGGGAAAGCAAGUCAGAUGUGAAAACCAUGGGCUCAACCUGUGGCCUGCAUUUGAAACUGUUUUUCUUGAGUACUGGA